rnacentral:rRNA from 1 species
GAUGAACGCUGGCGGCGUGCCUAAUACAUGCAAGUCGAGCGAACGGACGAGAAGCUUGCUUCUCUGAUGUUAGCGGCGGACGGGUGAGUAACACGUGGAUAACCUACCUAUAAGACUGGGAUAACUUCGGGAAACCGGAGCUAAUACCGGAUAAUAUUUUGAACCGCAUGGUUCAAAAGUGAAAGACGGUCUUGCUGUCACUUAUAGAUGGAUCCGCGCUGCAUUAGCUAGUUGGUAAGGUAACGGCUUACCAAGGCAACGAUGCAUAGCCGACCUGAGAGGGUGAUCGGCCACACUGGAACUGAGACACGGUCCAGACUCCUACGGGAGGCAGCAGUAGGGAAUCUUCCGCAAUGGGCGAAAGCCUGACGGAGCAACGCCGCGUGAGUGAUGAAGGUCUUCGGAUCGUAAAACUCUGUUAUUAGGGAAGAACAUAUGUGUAAGUAACUGUGCACAUCUUGACGGUACCUAAUCAGAAAGCCACGGCCAACUACGUGCCAGCAGCCGCGGUAAUACGUAGGUGGCAAGCGUUAUCCGGAAUUAUUGGGCGUAAAGCGCGCGUAGGCGGUUUUUUAAGUCUGAUGUGAAAGCCCACGGCUCAACCGUGGAGGGUCAUUGGAAACUGGAAAACUUGAGUGCAGAAGAGGAAAGUGGAAUUCCAUGUGUAGCGGUGAAAUGCGCAGAGAUAUGGAGGAACACCAGUGGCGAAGGCGACUUUCUGGUCUGUAACUGACGCUGAUGUGCGAAAGCGUGGGGAUCAAACAGGAUUAGAUACCCUGGUAGUCCACGCCGUAAACGAUGAGUGCUAAGUGUUAGGGGGUUUCCGCCCCUUAGUGCUGCAGCUAACGCAUUAAGCACUCCGCCUGGGGAGUACGACCGCAAGGUUGAAACUCAAAGGAAUUGACGGGGACCCGCACAAGCGGUGGAGCAUGUGGUUUAAUUCGAAGCGACGCGAAGAACCUUACCAAAUCUUGACAUCCUUUGACAACUCUAGAGAUAGAGCUUUCCCCUUCGGGGGACAAAGUGACAGGUGGUGCAUGGUUGUCGUCAGCUCGUGUCGUGAGAUGUUGGGUUAAGUCCCGCAACGAGCGCAACCCUUAAGCUUAGUUGCCAUCAUUAAGUUGGGCACUCUAAGUUGACUGCCGGUGACAAACCGGAGGAAGGUGGGGAUGACGUUAAAUCAUCAUGCCCCUUAUGAUUUGGGCUACACACGUGCUACAAUGGACAAUACAAAGGGCAGCGAAACCGCGAGGUCAAGCAAAUCCCAUAAAGUUGUUCUCAGUUCGGAUUGUAGUCUGCAACUCGACUACAUGAAGCUGGAAUCGCUAGUAAUCGUAGAUCAGCAUGCUACGGUGAAUACGUUCCCGGGUCU